AUACGUAGGUGGCGAGCGUUGUCCGGAAUUACUGGGCGUAAAGGAUGCGUAGGUGGAUAUUUAAGUGGGAUGUGAAAUCCCCGGGCUCAACCCGGGAACUGCAUUCCAAACUGGGUAUCUAGAGUGCAGGAGAGGAAAGCGGAAUUCCUAGUGUAGCGGUGAAAUGCGUAGAUAUUAGGAGGAACACCAGUGGCGAAGGCGGCUUUCUGUACUUUAACGGACACUGAGGCAUGAAGGCGUGGGUAGCAAACAGGAUGAGUUACCCGUGUGGUCCACGCCGUAAACGAUGGGUACUAGGUGUAGGAGGUAUCGACCCCUUCUGUGCCGUCGUUAACACAAUAAGUACCCCGCCUGGGGAGUACGGUCGCAAGACUAAAACUCAAAGGAAUUGACGGGG
rnacentral:rRNA from 1 species